rnacentral:tRNA from 1 species
UAUAUAUUAGUGUUAAAGUGCACAAAAAUUUUUGAUAUUUUUAGAAUUAAUUAAAAUUUAAUAUAUAUAA